GAAUGGAUAGCUAAUUCAGUCUGCCAUGGCCUUACAUCACCACCCAUGACAAAAUGCCCACCUCAAGAUCACUCACCCACCACAAUGACCCAGGGCAUGCAUGGUGGGUUGCGCUAUGCCACCAUGGUCUACAAUAAGCUUGAGUUAGGUGGUUUUAUGAAUGGUGAUUACAGAAUGGAUAGCUAAUUCAGUCUGCCAUGGCCUUACAUCACCACCCAUGACAAAAAGCCCACCUCAGGAUCACUCACCCACCACAAUGACCCAGGGCAUGCAUGGUGGGUUGCGCUAUGCCACCAUGGUCUAAAAUAAGCUUGAGUUAGGUGGUUUUAUGAAUGGUGAUUACAGAAUGGAUAGCUAAUUCAGUCUGCCAUGGCCUUACA